UUUUAUUUUACAAGAAUAUUUCAACUUAAUUUACCUCUCUUUCUAUGAGAUUAUUUUCAUCUGUCAGAUCUUGUUCCUGUAAUUAGUAAUAGCAAAUGGGAGUUAGAAAAGUAUCGAUCCGCUUGUAACCUUAACAGCUUAAGCAAGAGCACUACGUUUAUUAGGCACUUAAAACAGUAAGAGAGCACUACGUUUAUUAGGCACUUAAAACAGUAAGAGACCUAAUCUUGGAGACACGAAAGCAACACGAGACACAGGAGAAAUAGAGAAGCCAACAAAAUCAUGACCCUGCCCAGUAGGAAAAAGUUGCACACCAAACCUUAAGUGCGAAAGUGAAGAAGCAAUCAGAAAAAUUCCCAUGUAAUUUAUUGACAACCUAGCUAAAAAUUCUUAGUUUUGUGCUCUCUUACUUGCUGUUUUGAGUGGGAAUUAUUAAUUAGUACUCCCAUAGUAAUUCAAGGGGAAAACCAGAGACCUAAAGAAAAGUAACACAUUAAGCCUAAACUGCAAGAAUUUGAGGACAAUCCUUUGUUCCUCUUAUCACUAGGAAUUGCUUUUCAUGAUAAUUAAUCACUCCCCAUCAGUUUUUCCUACUGCAACUGUCUCUACCUGCCUGCUCAACCCCAUUCCCCUGCUUCUCACAUCUUCUAGAAAAUGUUCUCACUUCCAUGAAAACAACAUAUACUGAAACAGAACACAUUCUACCUAGUAUUCCUAUGCAAAUGAAGUUUGUUACAUGCCAUAUCAGGCUGUGGAUAUGCUCCUGACAAAACACCUACCAUGCAAUUAUUUAACGCAACAAACUUAAAUGAUUUGUCCCAUCUUUUUGUACACCAAUCCAAAGAAUGACGAACCCGUACGGAUAGAAUGUGACUAUAUGAGAGCCUUACAACACAGGCAGCAGUUCAAUAAAGGCACCAUUCUCUUCCAUGCAUUUUAAGUGCUCAUCGUGUAACUAAUAUUGCUUCUAGGAGGAGGCAACCGUACAGUGGAGAAUGACUUAUCUGGUUUAGAAGCCAUCAAGCACCCCCUCUUGCAACUGCUUAAGCCUCUAGGGGCAAGUAAGUCUAAUUCUGAUUAUUGCAGAUUAAAUCCACCUCAGCUUAUGGAUCUAGGAGUCGCAUAAAAGUAUUUCCGUGUUCCAUCAAUACCAAACAGCGCUUCGCUUUCAAUCAUGUAAUGAAGAGUUUCAAGCUCUCACAACCAACAAACAAGGCUGUUCUGUUGAUCAUGGGUUUGAAUUGGACAACUGACCUUUCUUCCUCUGGUGUAAACUAGUGUGGAGUCCAGUUCUCUUUCUAGCUGAAUGAGUUGAGUUAGAUUUAGCUGUUCUAUGUUCUUCCCUUCAAAGUACCUGCAAAAAAGAGCCAAUAAAUGCUAGUGAUAGGUCCAGUGGAAUGCAACAUGUCAAUUUCCAUGAAGCGUAUGACAUGAAUCUGAAGAUUGAUGAUAUACCUUUGGACCAUUUGGAGUGGGUUAGCAUCCAUAUAGCUGGGACCCAUGUAUUCUGCGUGAUGAUUCUGCUGAAUUUCCAAAAGAUUGCUAUUUCUUGACUUUUAGUUUUAUGUGUGUCAUAGCGCUCAAGGAUAUUUCUCAAACUGUACACAAAGGAACAUUGCGCAACUCAGAAAUCCUCAAACUGGGCAUAAAGGAACAUAGUACAACUGAUAAGCAAGCAAGGAACCUACAAGUAUUGUGAAGCAAAUACCAACAGAGAAUCAAUAAAACAAUUGAAGCUACAAGUGAAGUUAAGCCAGCAUAAAAAUCCCUGACAAUCCAUAUCACAGGUAUUUUCCCAUUUCUUCCAUCUUCUAAAAUUUACAGUGGAUAAUGGUUGUAAGGUUCACUUCUAUGAGCCCUUGUUAGCGUGUGUUGUGGUGGUCAUUUUUCAUUUAUGCUGAUUGUAUUUACUUAUUUUCUUUUUGUAUCUUGAUAGCAUUCUAAGGUUAAGGCUUUCAUUUAGACUAGUAGCCAACAUGAAAGGUCAGUAAUAACCUACUCUUCUACGGAAGGCCUUGUAUCAUCGAACAUUAAUGUACAUGUCAUAUGUAGUUUUAGGGAGAGACAGUUUCUAGCCUCCUGCUGUCAUACAGUAGUGGGAAACAUGCUGAGCAUUCUUUGCUUUUUAAUCAAGAGGCAUGACUGAUCUUAAAUAGAGGAUAUAUUGUCAGUUCCAAGGGUUUUGGACAAAAUGAAGGCAUGAAACAUUGAAAGUAUGCGAUGCGGGACAUGAUUUUGAUUUUUGCUAGUGUGACUUGAGGAUUUAUCAUGAUGAAAAUCAUGAAAGAAUUUCCUUUUUUGGAGGGUAUAUACCCUGUCCUCUGUAUUUUCUUCAUCUUCUCUUUCGUUGAUAGAUUUUUAUUUGAACUUGAAAAAAAGAAGAAAAAAAGGCUAGUAGUAUUAGGGUGCAAUAAUAAUCAUGAUAGUCAAAAGUUAGAAGAUAGAUUUAUGACACUCAGUUAUCUUGUUAGGAUUUACCUGUCAAGUAAGAUCAUUAGGAAGAACAAUAUGCCAAGCAAAAAUUAAGUUUUUUGGCCCUUGCUCUUAGAGUUUAUUAUAUUUAUUCUAACAUCAAAAGGUAACAGCUAUUACUGAGAUGAAACUAUAUGAAUUUUCUCCAACUAUACAUGAUAGCUUAGGUUCUCCACAGAAACUUUGCAGUAGGUAAUUAUGCUUUUAUUAUUUAUGGCCGAAGUGAGUUCAAAUGGGUUCUUUUCCUUUUUUUUUUUUUUUGUAUUGCAAUAUUUAACUAUUGUAUUUCUAUUGAUAAUAUCAUUCGAUUUAGAAAUAUAGAAAAGGAAAAACAAGAUUGAAGGAAAAAGGAACAUAAUGAGAAUGCUUCUCUGCUGUUCUCAUUUCUUUUCUUUCGAUUAUUUUGGAAUUAUAGUAGGUAAUUUGAAUGCACUAUAUGUUUGAGAAUAUGUUGUAGUUCUAAAAUGAGAAGAAUUGCGAGAAAGAAGAUAGAAAAAACAGAGAGAAUCGAGUAUUUGUGACUGAGUAUUUGCUUUGAACAUGGGUGUAGAUAGCUUUGCAAUCAACAAAAUCACCAUCAAAUACAUCUCUGUGCCAUGCUUGUUUCUGAGAUAGCAUACCUAUUGUUUCUAAAAGAAAGUCUCUGUACCAAGAAAUUUUCAUUAUGAGUUCUAUUACUAUAUGCUUGAAUAAAUAUUCAGCUCAGAAAGCCUUUGGAGAGAUUAAAGCCUUAAUGAUUGAAUCGCCUGUUAUUAUGCUAGUUGAUUUCAAUAAACUAUUAACAAUGUAGUGUGAUGAAUUUCAAGCUAGAUUUGUAGUGCCAGUAAAUAAGCAUACACACCUUUUUCACUGAUGAACUAUCUGGUUCAUUUGGAAUAGUCAAGUAUGGCAGAAUCUGAACUCUAGAAGAUGCUUAACAAGCCCUAUGUCAUGUGAAGUAUAAAAGAAGAGAGUUUAGUGUUUGUAGCAGAUGCACUUGGCAAGUGAUUUUCCUUAGCAAGGCUAAUGGGGAAUAGAAGUUUCGAGGAGUUCUUAUUUCUUCCUCGUCUAUUUUCUCUAAAGCACUUUAUUCUA